rnacentral:tRNA from 1 species
GCUUGUGUAGCUCAGUUGGUUAGAGCACCCCGCUCAUAACGGGGAGGCCCCCGGUUCGAGGCCGGGCACAAGCACCA